rnacentral:rRNA from 1 species
ACGCACGCUGGCGGCGUGCUUCACCCAUGCAAGUCGCACGGUAAGGCCCCUUCGGGGGUACACGAGUGGCGACCGGGUGAGUAACACGUGAGCAACCUGCCCUUGACUUUGGGAUACCAGCUGGAAACAGCUGCUAAUACCGGAUAUGACCUCUUCUCUCAUGGGUUGAGGUGGAAAGCUCCGGCGGUCAGGGAUGGGCUCGCGGCCUAUCAGCUUGUUGGUGAGGUAAUGGCUCACCAAGGCUUCGACGGGUAGCCGGCCUGAGAGGGCGACCGGCCACACUGGGACUGAGAUACGGCCCAGACUCCUACGGGAGGCAGCAGUGGGGAAUAUUGCACAAUGGGCGCAAGCCUGAUGCAGCAACGCCGCGUGCGGGAUGACGGCCUUCGGGUUGUAAACCGCUUUCAGUAGGGACGAAGCUAACGUGACGGUACCUACAGAAGAAGGACCGGCUAACUACGUG